rnacentral:lncRNA from 1 species
UUCGAACGUGGGUGAUGAAUUCUGUGUUCUGAUCAGUUACUCAGGAGGCGCCCGAAUGUGAGGGGGUGGGAGUGUGGGAGGGGGCUGCCUCCUCUCUUCUCUUUCCCUCUGGCUGCUCUCCUCCCCUCUCCCCCCUCCUUCUCUCUCCCCCCUCCCUUCUUCCCUCCCCUCCCUUUUUCAGCAUCUCCCCUACCCUUUCUUUCUCUUCUCUCCCUCUCUCCCCUCCCUCUCUCCCCCUCCCGCUCUCUUCUCCCUCUCCCUACAAGUCUGGCACUGAAGGAGAACUGUUUUGCUUUGCUCCGGGAAGAGUGCAGACACGACGUGAAAUCCGGAGCUCUUUGCGUGAAAUCUGUGUAAAGCGUGGAGGGGAAAACAUUUGCAUAAAAAGUGAAGGAGCACGCCAAGGAGCACCAAAGACCAAGAGGAGACCAGAUGAGUUUUCAGAGCAGUUCUCAGACACCCAGGACGCAUGUCAUCCUUUGCCUCGUGCUUUCUGCAAUGUUGCUGCUCACCUUCAUCUUUCUAUUAACCCUCGCCAUAACGAUCCCCCCUGACACCACCACCUCUUCUCCAUUAAUCACCCACUCAGCUCUCUCUGAGACUCAGUUAACACUCAGUCCCUUGGUCAGGAAAACCGGAGAAAAAGUUCCCUUUUCUAAAAAGGAAGUCAGAGCGUGCUCUGCUGGAGCCACCAUGCUCAGGGAAGAGACCCAAAAUACAGCUGAGUGUGAUGUCAUUGAAACCAGAUGGAAAGACCAGAAAUCCCUUAAUCCCAGUCAGACCUAGUGAAGCUUUACUUGUGACUGUUGGGACUGAUUAAGAAUAUGGGGGCAGGGAGGAAGAGAGGGAGAAAGAUGUUCUGAAUUGGAUUGCCCUUCAAUACAGAAUGGAAUCCCCUAGAUUUUUUUGUCCUCCAAUUAAAUGUGCAUUUCAUUCUACCACAUUGUGAUGGCUUCACUGUAGAUGUUUCCUCUGGAGACCCAAGGCUUUUUUUCUUCAUGGGUCACAAGACCACAAGCCACCAGAUGAUGAGGUAAGUGACAGUGUCUCAGAAAUGACCUCAGAAAUCCAGUGCUGAUGAAAACCCACCUUAGGAGACAGCAAGGUUUGUCCCCUGUUCAGUCCCUCUUGACUUGAGCCCUUGCAGGGAACCCCAGAACAGCGAGGAAUUUUAGUGGGGCUCCACACCAUUCUGGGAAGCAAAGCUGAUGCUGAAGAUUGGUUACAUCAGAAGUUGGGAAUGUCAUUGAAUCAAUCUCUCUCUCUCUCUCUCUCUCUCUCUCUCUCUCUCUCUCUUUAAAAAAAAUCAGACAGGCCUUACUGGCACAUUCCUAUAAGCCCAACUACAUGGGAAACUGAGGCACAAAGAUUGUCAUUUCAAGACCUACCUGGGCAACAGAAUGAGUUUAGGGCCAGCCCAGGUGACUUAGUA